AUCGUGUAAAAGUUGCGAGCGCGUCUCUAUCGGGGAACAUAGUUUCGCCCUUCGAGAAAUUACGUUUUACUCCUUCCGCCUCUUAAACUUGAAACCAAGUAUGAAAGGGGACAUCGAAAUAGCUCGAUGCACAGGAUUUUCGCGAUCCUUCUCGAGCAUCGAUCCUCGAAGAAACAAAAGUUGGAGCUUAUCCGUUUCUUCGGUCGUAAAGAAUUUCGUACAAAUAUCCGCAGAUUAAUUUAGAAGUUCGAGUUAGACGAAGCCAAGUUUUCCAACUUUAAAUUUAAACGAACAACCGAUGAUAUUUCUGCGUACCAACUUUUACAACUUUUACAAGCGCGCGUCCCCCUUCCCCGAACGUAUCAUCCCGUACGAUGGAAUAGAAUUAUCGAGGUUUACGAAACAGUUGCUCGCGUAUCGAAUCGAACGCGAAUCGAUAAAGUUCCGGGUGACUGUCUCUCCACGUACAACAGUCUCGUCCCGAGCGGAUGAUGUACAGUCGAUGCACGUUGCUGCCAGGCCGUUCGAUCAAGGACGAUCCUCGUUUACGUCUCACCUACCUCGAGGAAUAUUAAUGGAUUUGCCUUACCUACUCGCAUUUGCGUACAAUCUCUCUCAGACCUACCUACCUUCGUGGUUUCCAAUCUUCCAUCGUCUCAGCCUCAGUCUUACGUAAGCUCCACUAAAUGCUCUCCGAUUCGCCCUAUCGCGCUCCGUCGUACACCGCGUUUCAAAACUCUUCGUAAUUAAUUACGCCUCCUCCGAGGAUGGAUUGAUUCCAAGAUGAAUUUCGACCCAAUUUUGAACCUCGAACAAUUUUCCACUCCACUCGUUUCUUUUUUUUUUCCUCUCUUUUUCCUCCUCGACCACGCAGGAAUUUCUCAUUUAAGCGCAAUAUAAUCCUCCUUUCGCGCUUCAAUGAUCCGAGGAAUCAAUCCACGUGUCCUUCGACGCCGAUUAAAUCCUUCUCACCUUCGAUUCCCUCCUUCAUUUUCCGAGAGAUUACCUAAACGCCGCGGUUACCGUGAAACGUAAUUAGAAGUUAGUGGAAGGAGGAGGAGGGGAAAAAAGAAGAGUCUCCCCCUCUUUCGGAUGGCAUAGAAGGAGGAGGGGUUAGAAACAGAGCGAGAUUUUCGCGGAUUCGCGCGAGCUCGUUAAUAAAGGCGCGCAAUUUGAACGCUAAUUAAAAAAGUUUCGCGUUGACCGUGAUUAAACACAGUUUAGAAAUUUAUAUCCUUCCUCGUCGGAGGAGCACCGAGUCCUUUGUUCCGUCCACCUCGAGUUCCAUCGAACCCCGUUAGAUCCGUCCUCCUAUAUUCUCCCUGAAAUUUCGAGGUCGAGGCGACGAGGCGAACUUUUGAUUUCUAGUUUUUUAAUUUCACCACGAGGCGAGAGAGAGUUUAUUUUUCACCGGUCGGGGAAUGGCGCGCGACGCUUAAAUAAUUCAUAGGCGAGCGAUCGCGAGGUUGGCGAUGGAAUAAGCGCGAGAUUGCCGAGAAACCGUUCAAUGGAAUCACGUUCGCAUCGUUUGUCCGCGUCCCGUCGCUCUUAACGGAGAUAAGAUUCCAGGGAUCGUCCGGGCUGUGACAGGAUUUGUUGAUCCGGUUACGUUUACCCGUACACAAACCUCGUCCCUGGAGAUUAACUCCGGAGCAGUCUAAGACGCGCUUCCCUUGAUAACUUUAAUUUCGAGCAACCUCCGUCUUUGUUAAUAUCGCAAUCAUCAUGCGUGUGACGGAGAAAAAUGUAUAUAUAUAUAUAGAUUUAUGAAGGAAUUUAUAUAUCUGAAGAAUACUUGUUCUUUCUUAAGAAGAAUUCACGAAAUUGGCAUUUAACUUAGGUUCGUCAUUUCUCUUCUACUUGUCAAUGUCCUACCAGACAGAGAAUUUCUUAACAUAUUCGUGUUGCACACCUGUACGUGUUUUGUUUAAUUUCAGCAUUCAUUAGAAGAUUGCUUCUCUGCUUUCUUUUGUCCUUUGGAUCCUCGAUUAAUCGAACCGGUAUUUCUUUUUUUUCCCGUCGAUAAAUCUCCUCGCGUUCGAUGGAGAGAAAAAAGAAAGAAAGAAGCGAGUGCGUGCGAUAUCGAUUCUCGAAUCGAAUUAAACAUUUACUUUGACAGAGUUUGGAAACAGGGUGAGGGGGGGGUGAUUAAAAUAAAGCGUGAUUUCGCGAUCAAAGAGUGCGGAGCGAUCGGAUAAAAGCUAAAUACAAUUUAUCCUAUGAUAACGCGGGAAUAUUAAUUAAGCUUGCAACGAUAGCGGACAGUUCAGAAAUUAUGAAAAUAGGUGAAUAAUCGGGGGGAUCGUGUAUUAUUCUAUACCGUUGCGCUUCGUUAUUUAUUCUUGCUUGUUAUUGCUUCGUCUCUGAUCUCGCUCGGAUCAACCGUUUACCCACCGGUUAUUACGCGCCCCCUCUCUUUGUUCCCGCAAAAUUGAGGGAGACAAAAGUUGAAACGGAAAGCGAAAUCCGAUCGACGCGAGAGAAGGGUGCGAAAUUUCGAGAAGCCUCUCUGUUUUCCCCUCUUCUUUUCUUUUCUUUGUUGCGUGGAAUAAUUGCAACGCGACAGAGGGAGAUCUUCUGAAUCACGGAGGCUGAUCUCCACGGCUGCGAGAUCGGUCAAGAUAGACACUAGAUAGAUUUUUAUGCUCCCCAAAAGUGCACCCGGGCUUCUUCUUUCACCCAUUUUUCAACGUUCGUGGGUGACGUUCGUUCCUCGAGAGAGAUUCCGAACGAAUUUCUCUCCUUGUCGAAGGGAGGGACGAAAUUGAAAAGGAAUCUCUUUCGUGGGAAUCCCUUUUCCUUGGAAUGGAGCGGAGUAAAUUCAUUCAUAGGUGUAGCCUAUAAAGGUGAGGAAGAAUCGCGUACUCGUGGGUGAUCGAGCGAUUUGGUCGUCGAAAGCGUGUUUUCGAAAGAAGGGGAAACAGCAUAAUUUUUAUUUAGCUGAAAUUGUCGAAGUUGCGUCUGCUUCCCUUUAACGCAUCGUCUUCGAGACUUAAAUUAACCCGCUUUCUCGCGAUUUUGAUAUUCGUCCGUAUUGAUCAAGUAUUACGUAUUCCACGCGACGUAAUCGCGAACAGUUUCGAUCGUUCGAAACGAUUUGUUCCCAUUCCUGUGGGAUAAUUGAUUCGCACAAUUAAUUUUUAAUCAAUGCGAAAAGGCGGGGAGGAGAGAGAACGCGCUGCAAUCGGCGCGAUAAAGAUGGUGCGAGAAACGAGGAAUCGAUGGUGUCGGGUGUCCUCCCCUCCUCCUCCGAUGGAAUUUUUCCGGCCAAGCGCAACCUGUAACGCGAGAUAACCCGGCCGCAAACGAGUUGAAGUCGAGACGUGGUUUUUUGCUCGCCCAGGGUGAGCUUGUAUGUAAACCGCGAAACUCGCCUCGUUCCGUGAGAGUUUCGAUGAUUUUUACGGUUCCACGUCCUUCUUCCUCCUCCUUUCGCUUUUAUUCCCCCUCGCUCGUCUUCCCUGCGUUGGGUCGAAGAUCGGUGUUAGACGAUACUCCACGACGAGGAAAGUUUGAGAGCGUUGGACGGGCUCGUAACGAUCGCCGACGGAUGGAUCGUCGAUCCAAUUUUCGGUACUAGUGAAUUUUUCAGAGGAGACGGAAAGCGAAAGCGACGGGCAGACGUACGCGCAAAGUGGUAGCAACAACGUCUCGAACGUUUAUUCGAACAUGGACACCAUCCAUAUGGAAACGUUCUGAUCUUCGAUUUUAUUAAUUCGAUGUUUAUCACACUUGUUUACACCGAUUUUAAAUCUUUAUCUUUAUUUGAUACGCGUUUUCUACGCGUCUAUUAU